rnacentral:rRNA from 1 species
UAAUUUGUCCUCUAAUUAAGGUCUGGAAUGAAGGGGGACACAGGGGAGAGCUGUCUCCAAUAAGGUUAAUUUAACUUUCUUAUCAGGUGAAAAUUCCUGAGCCUCCGAUGAAAGACGAGAAGACCCUUAGAGUUUUUAUUAUAAUUUGAUAUAUUAAAAUUCUUGUUCUGUUUUUGUUGGGGCGACAGGGUUACAAUAGAUAACUUACCCUACCAUAUUUUUAUAUGGCGAUCAUUAUACUUUUAAUUAAGCUACCUAAGGGAUAACAGCGUAAUCUUUUAUUUUGGUUUGC